UGGAAGUCGUUUCAUCAACACCAGAUAUGGAAUGGAGCACGCGUUUUCAGCACCGCUAUCUCUCUUUGUGGACUGCAAUGUCUUUUUUAUUGCUCCGCAAGCUGCCCCCGGCGUUAGGGACAAAUGUCUGUCGUGUUAAUCAAAGACCUCGGUGCGAAGGUGAAAAGAUGGCCACAUUAGGCCCAAGCUCCACUGCGGUCACUGGGGCUCCAUGUUUUCCGCUCGGUGGUGUUCUUGGAACCCGGAUGAAAUUCAUAUCAGUCGCGGCUCCUAGUGGAUGGUGGCUGUGUGGGACCAAGCCCGCAGUGAAUAACCAAAUAUCUAAAAAUUUAAAAAAUUUCCAUUUUCAGAAUAAAAUCUCUGCCUGUUUUUAAAGAGGGAUGACCUGCUGCUUCCAAUAGACCGAGAGUAUCCACAUUCAUUUGGGGGAAUGUGCAAGCUACCUUUCCGCUGAGUGAGAGAAAGAGAAUUUCGCAGCCGGAAAAUGAGGACAAAGGUGGCAAAUGAGGCGAGGAAAGGCUUUUCAGCUUCAGCAGGUUGGUGGUAAUUUGCAUGUUUGCCUUGAUUGCCACUUCUGCUUGGGGAAAUCCGCUGAACCAGGCAGACACUUCCAAGUGAAGUGAGAAAAUAAACUUUUUAUUGCAAAAUUGCAUU